GUUGUCGAGAAAAAUUAGCUUAUAUAUACUUAGUUUUAAGCAAGGGCACAGAUACACUACAUAAAGAAAAAAGAAAGAAGAAAAAUGGUCACUAUAUGAAAAGACAAGAAAGUCACAUUAGUUUGAGCAGUCGAAAAAAGAGCGGGGAGAAAAGACGAAGCGAAAUAAAACGCAACCAACGCCUAAGUACCUAUGAAGAUAAGCGAUUGUGUUUUAUCCGAAAUUCUCACGUUCCUGGACUCAACAUCUUUUAUUUCGCUUCUUGGAAGCCAAUGACGCUAGAGCUCUUGGAGUUUGUAUGAAGACGGGCAGAGACUCGUGGUGCAAGCACUGAAGUAUACUGGACAUUGGAGAGGCGACGGAACCCACAAGGAGACGGUCAUCUCGCUCGUGGGUGGAUAAUAAACAUUGCAGAACACGGAGGCCAACGUGGGUGCGCACGUCUGGCAGCUGAAAAAAGCGCACAUUUUUAUGUAUGUAUGCGAGAUCGUGCACAUACUGCCAUCUCGCUCUAACCAACGAAGUUCUUGCGGGCCAGUAACUAGAGGCUUGAGUGCGCAGUUGGCUAAUGAAAUCGAGUGAAAAUUUCUGGAUUGUGGUUUGUUUGCCAGACACCACAUCCACAAGAGGAGAAGUACCAGCCAACUCGAAAGGAUUGGCGCAUCGCUCAGCAGAUCUCACACUCAUUUUGGAACAAGUGGCUCAAUGAGUACCUACCAGACCUAUCCAGACGGACAAAGUGGCAUCACCCAGUGCCACAACUCGCUGAAAUGGACAUUGCUCUUAUCUGUGAUAAGAAUCUUCAUCGAUCUCAAUGGAAAAAGGGAGUUAUUCUAGCAGUCACGCCUGGACGCGACGGACAGGUUCGCUCAGCCACUGUAAAGACGACGGCUGGAGUUCUACACCGCCCAACCUGUAUGCUGGCAAAGCUAGACAUAUUGUGAAUCACGAGCGUGCUUGAUUCACGGUGGUGGGG